AUUAAUUAUCUCAUUCAUAUUCAAUUUACUAGCAUAAGAACAUAGUCCAUUUCAUAACAUAUUUAAAAACUCACAACGGUUGAUUGCCACAUUAUUCAUUUUAAUUUCCCGGCCUUACAAUCUGAUGAACAUAGCCAAUCAUCAUUUUAUUUCAUCUCAUGUGUUAUUAUACUGUUUUACAUUUUAAUUCCCUAUUAACCUGACUCGGACUUACACAGAUACACAGAUUCAACCAACAAAUCAAAUUUGGCACUAAAUGCCUUAUUGAACAAUUCCGAAUAUAGCUCAAUUUCAAAUUCAACAUUUUCAUUUCAUCAACCAAUUAUCAAUAUAUAUAUAAUUACCAGCAUAAAUCAUCCCAAUAUGAAGUCAAUUUUACAUUUACAUCAAUAUACGAUAUUUUCAAAUCUAUUCAAUUUAGUCCUCUAUCUCAAAUAACAAUCAAAUUGCAUCAAUUCACUCGAGUUAUCAAAUUCUGUUCACCUCAUAAUCUUAACAUGCAAAACAAUAUAUUUAUAUGCAACAAUUGAAGUGGUUCGAAUUAUAGAAAUAAAAACUGAAAGCUUGUGUCACUCGUCGUCGACUCUCGCCUUCUCUUUUCCUUUCAAUGAUCCUGCAUCAUUUUUAGCUACGAAUAAUAAUCUAUAAUAGUAUAAUAUCAAUCCAAAUCACAUUCAAUUACAAAGUCAUACAUAUUUUGAACAUUAUUCAAUUUAGUCUCUAAAACUGAUAUAGCCAUAUCUUUCAAAUUUGAGUUUUGAUCUUAUAACUGAUCUCAAUUACAUCCUUCUAUAGCCCUCUAUUAUCUAUAAUUUCAUAAAUAUUACACUAAUUUUUAAAUUUAUGCACUUUAGUCCAUAUGUUCAAAAACUAGCAGUUUAACUUUACAAUCUAAUCUUUUUUUCACUUCUAAGCUUAAAAUCUAACAAUUUAGUAUCAAUUUCGUCAAGCAUUCAUCAAUGGAAACUUUUAGAAACUUUAAUAGUUUUAAAAAAUAGUACACGGGUCAGCUAAAUCCAUCUCCCACGAUCUCAAAAACAUGAAAUUUACAAGAAAAAUACUUGAAAUACCUUAGCAAUUGAAGACUGAAUGGUGAAAGUUUUUCAAGGAUUUCUUUCCUUCAAGUUUAGGCCAUGGGAGGUGAAUGGAUGAGUACGACGAUAACUUUUUCUUCCAUUCCACUACCUUUUAAACUUUAAACCAUAAUUAAAAUUAAAUUAAUCUUAAAUUACUAGUUUAAACUUAAUUAACUAACCUUAACCUUAAUUAUUUAACAUUAGUGGAUGAAAACAUCCAAUUCCACUAUCUCAUAACUAAAAGUGGUUAAAUUUAUCUUUUGGUCCUAAAUCAAUUUAAAAAUCUAUAACAAUUGAACUUUAAUGAUUUAGUCCUUGUAUCUUAAUUAACUAUCAAUUCGACAAAAUUACUAUACCAAAAUUUAAUAUAUUUCUGUUUAACCUCAUAAAUAUUAACAUUUAUUAUUUAUUGACUUGAUUUAUGGAAACAGGAUUCUGAAAUUGUAUUUUUCGAUACUACUAACUUUCGAGUAAUUACAAUUUACUUAAAUUUAAUUUAUUUAAUCAAUCUGCUAUUAACAUCACAGCCACUAACACCCACUUUGACAUGGUCUAAUUGCUAUUGUAGACCUUAAGCCAUUUUCUAAUUAAAAAUCUAUAGCAAUUGGACUUUAUAAUUUAGUCCUUAAACCUUAAUUAAUCGCUAAUUCGCCUAAGUUACCUAUACAAAUUCAAAUCACCUAUAUGAUAAGUCUAUAAUUAUCUUUAUUUAAUAUUUACAGACUUGAUUUACGAAAAUGAGGUCUCGAACCCAUAAUUUUCGGUACCACUAGAAAUCGGGUCGUUAAAAUUAUGAAGUGAGAGUGAAAAGAAAGUAGUGGAAAUAUUGUAAACCAUGUAGAGAAAGUGAUAUGAAUUAUAGUAUGUGAAGAGAAGAUGCAAGGAAAUUCAUUUGUAAUCUUUAAUGACUAAAUUGAAUAAUAAAUGAAGUGUAUUGAUAUGUAUGAUCAAAUGAUCUUGUAUAAAGGGUUAAGUUAGUUAAGUGUCAAAUGAUGGAUAAGUGACAAGAGAAAGAAUAAGUACAAUGAAAGAAAUAAUUAGUGUUUAAAUUGUAAUAGCCCGAUUUUAGGCCUAGUCGGAACAGUGGUUUCGGGACCACAAAUCCGACGAGAAAAAAAAAUGUAAUGGCCUGAAUUUUUAGAGGUGUCGGAACGGUGAUUCGAGAUUACUAAAUCUGACAAAUGGGUAGAAAAUAUUAUUAAUUUAGUAAGUAUAAGUUAAAUGUGAAGUUAGGAAAAUUUUUGAAAUAGUGAAUAGUGCACUAGAAAUAAAUAUUAAAAUAAUUAGAAUCGAAAUGAGGUAUCAAGACCUCAGGGAUUUUAAACCGAGCCAUAAAUAUUUUUAUAAAUAUUUAUGGAGUGUUAAAAAGUUAGUAUUAAAGUUUCGUUAAGAAAAUUUAAAGUUCCGAUAAUUAAUUGAACAAAAAGGACUAAAUUGUAACAAAUGCACAAUUUUGGGAAAUGAUUAAAUAGCUUAAAUGAUAAAAGGAAGAGGGCUUAAAAGGAAAAUAGACUCAAUGUCUAUUUGGGCUGGACGGCAAAGGCAUGAAAUCAACAAGAAAGUGAGAAGAAUUAAGGGCAAAAUUGAAAUAUUGCAAAAUUUGCUUAAUAAAGUUAGGACCCAAGUGGAAUUAUCUAGAUUUCUCUUCAUUUUUCUGAAUUAUCAUCAGCUAAAACACCAUGGAAGGGCUUAUUCAAGCUGGUUCUUCAUGUUUUUAUUACAAGUAAGUUCAAUUCUUGACUAUUUCUUAAAAUUUUUGUAUUUUUAUGACUUUUACAACUAGGCCCACUUGUUAAAUUCAUUAGUUUUUGAUUUUAUGAAAGAAGUUGAAAGUUGAUAUGAAAAUGUGCUGGAAUUAUAUGAUGAUUUAUCAUGAAAUUAGAGCUUUAAAUUGUUCAUAUGCUGAUUUUAUUGAAAGAAUUGAAUAGAAAGUGAAUGUUUGGGACCUAAUAGUAAAAGAGUUUGAAGUUAGAGUUAUAUGUGGAAAUUCUGAAUUUCAAUAGUUGAGUAACAACUUAUAAUGUCUAGGUAAAGUAUUAAUUGAGAAAAUUAGAUUAAUUGAGGGGUUAAUUGAGAAAGGACCGAAUUGUAUAAACUGUGAAAUUUGGGGCAAAAUGGAAAUCAACAUUUUGCACUAAAGCAGUUUUGGACAGCAGCAGUAGUGUAACUUUGAAAAAUCACCAAAAAUUUUAGAUAUUGAAUUAGAGGAUGAAUAAAAUAUGAAACUAAAGCUUGUUGAGUCUAGUUUCUUAUAAAAGAAAUGGUGUGAGCAAUGGAAUUGUAAAUCAUGAGAUAUAAUAGAUUUUGUGAGACAAGGUCAGAAUGAAUUCGGGUUCCCCUGUUCUUACUUUUGAAAAUCAUUAAAAAUCGUACAAAAAUUAUUAUGAGUUGUAAUUUAUAUGGUUAGAAUCCUUAAUGAGUCUAUUUUUAGAAGAAACAAACGAAAACAUCAUCCGAAUUCUGUACAAUGAGAUAAUUAAUUUUUAGUGAAGAGUGGUCGGAACUGUCAGACAGCGAAACAGGGGAAACUUUAAAGAAUAAACUGUACUAUUUGGCUGAACCAAAAAUUCUGAAAAUUUUAUGGUAUGAAUAUAUGUGAGUCUAGUUUCAGGGAAAAUUAACGGAUCUUAAUUUGGAGCUCUGUAGCUCCGGAUAAAAAUAAUUUAGUGACUCUGAGUCGGAUAAACAGUUUUGAAUAUACAUGUGAGUGAAUAGUGAAAUUAUAGCUAAUGUUGUUUAAGUGUGUUAUACACAUUAAGGAUGUGGAAUGGAGAGGAGAAGGAGGAAAAUUGGGAAAUAUAUGAAUGAUUUGUGUAUAAUUGGUCAUAUGCUUGAUUUUAAUUGAUAAAAGAUGAAAUAUGAAUUAUACUUAUAUUUGUGCAUUAUUGGUCAUGGCAUGUGUGAAAAUAAAGUUUCAUAGUAUGUGUGUAUGGUAUAUUCAGUAUAUGAUUUGGCAUGAAAUAAUAUCAUGAAUGGUUUAUGAAUUAACACAUGUUGGUAAGCCUGAUAUAUGAAUAAAUGAACAAAUUGAGCGGAACGCCGGAUUUGAGUACUUCUGAUCAAGUGACAAAGUGAUAAGUGGUAGCUUUAGCUACACUUAUCUGAUCAAGUGACAAGUGGAAAGUGAUAAGUAAUAGCUUCGGCUAUACUUAUCUAAUCAAGUGACAAAGUGAUAAGUGAUAGCUUCAGCUACACUUAUCUGAUCAAGUGACAAGUGGAAAGUGAUAAGUGAUAGCUUCGGCUACACUUAUUUGAUCAAGUGACAAGUGAAAAGUGAUAAGUGAUAGCUUCGGCUAUACUUAUCUGAUCAAGAGACAAAGUGAUAAGUGGUAGCUUUAGCUACACUUAUCUGAUCAAAUGAAAAAGUGAUAAGUGCUAUACUUAUCUGAUCAAGUGACAAAGUGAUAAGUGUUAGCCUUAGCUACACUUAUCUGAUCAAGUGAGAAAGUGAUAAGUGGUAGCCUAGCUACACUUAUUUGAUCAGGGACAAGUGAUAAGUGAUCAUAUGUAAGACCAUAGUUAUACUAUGGCAAGGUGAAAGUGAAGUACUCAAUUUUUCGUAACCGUUCCCUAAUUUGAUUAAGGAUGGUAAGUGACAAAUGGGCCCAAAAGAAUUAAAGUAAAUGGUUAAGUGGUAGUGUAUUUAUAUCAGGACGAUGUUGUUAUUCAAGCUAAAAUGAUAUUUUCAUUGUAAAAUUGAGAAUUUCAUAAAUGUGUUAUUGAAUGGUAUAAUCAAUAAACAUUGAGUUAAAUGGUAAAUACGUAUUAGUGUUGAACUUGAUGUCAUUGAAUUGUACGUGAAUUAAAUGGAAAUUGCUAGUGAUAUGAUCUAAAUCAUGAGCAUGAGAAAUUGUGAAUUGAAGGAAAUGGAAAUGAAGCAUUGAAUUGCAUGAGUAUGUAUCGGGUCUCGUAAGCCCUAAUUAUUAUGAUUAUAACAUUUUGAGGAUAUACUGUGAAAAGUUAUAGAAGCAUGUUAAUUAUUUUGAAAGUUUUAAUUUAGUUGAAAUUUUAUAACUCGGUUAAAUACGUUUACAAGUGCAUGUGUUUUGGUAAUGCCUCGUACCCUAUUCCAGUAUUGAAUAUGGGUAAGGGGUGUUACAUAAAUUGAGGAAAUAAAUUAAUUUCAUGGCUAGUUUAUGAAAUGCAUGAUAAGUGAAAUUCAAGGAACUAAAAUGAAUAAAUGAAGUCAAUACACAUCUAUAAUAUGUGCAAAUGACUAUGAAUAAUCAUUAAUUGAAAUUUUAUGAUAAUGAUAAGUUUAAUGUUAAUAGAUUUGCAUUCAAAUUAGUUUGAAUUGUUCCAACAACGGAUGUGAUGUCUUGUAUUCAAGUCUGUCGAUGGAUCAGGUGUGGGGUAUCACGCAUUGGGCAUUAUGAGAUAGACUUUGUGUGGAAAAAAAUAUGAUGGUAUGGGCUUUCAGAACCUCUAUUGUUUUAAGUUGGAGGAUUCUCUCCAUUCUGGAUUCUCUUCCCAAUCACAUCCUCAAAGCAAGAUAUUUUUCGAGGGACGUGUUGUUAUAUACUUCAGAGGGUACUAAUCUCUCAUUGGUUUGGCAAAGAAUCUAUAAAGCCAAGGAGUUGAUGGUUCAAGGUAUCCGGUGGAGGUUUGGGGGUAGUCGUUCUAUUCGUGUUUUCACGGACCCAUGGUUGGAUGACACAUCUAACUUUUUCAUUGAACCCACUUCUUUGUUGGGCUUGGAUAUGCUGCGGGCUUGUGAUCUUCUUAAUGAGACUGGCAUAAUUUGGGACAAGGAGCUCAUCGACGGUUUUUUGGCUCCUAUAGGUGUCGCCCACAUUCUCCAACUCUCGAAUGUCCCUUCCCACGCCCGGAAAAAGUAAUUUAGCAUCAUGGAAAAUCAUGGAUAUAUAUUAUUAAAUUCACCUAUCAGGUUGUAUUCAAUUUGAUGAAUAGUACUAAUUAUUUUAACUUUGAGGGACCAUGGCUGAGCAUUUGGAAUGUUUCCCUAUCGCCGAAAGUAAAGGAUUUUCUUUGGCGGUGUAAUAGGAACUUUGUUCCGGCACAUUGUUAACUAGCCGAAAAAGGGUGUUUAGUCCUAAUCAAUUGCGUUCGUUGUAGGGAUUUGAAGGGGUUGGAUCAUAUGUUAUUGUCGUGCAUGGUGGCGAUGGGUGUUUGGGACAAGGCCGGGAUUGUGCCUCCGUUGUCAACAGUACUUGGCUGGCUCACUUUGGUGGUAUAGGAUGGCGAAGAAGGGAUGAUAUCUAUUGUGGGAGUGUUGUGGUGGAGCUUAUGCUAUUUCUGGAAUCUAUCCAUUUAGAAGAACGAGCAAGCUACAAUGACACAAAUUUAUAACUUUUUUUUAUCAAUACCUCCAAGGUUGCAUGCCUCUCAUUCAACUUAUCGUCUAGUGCAGUAGCAUACUCCUCAUCGACCUGAAGCUAUUACUGCUUGGUCACCUCCUCCAGUUGGUAUCUGCAAAUGUAACAUCGAUGCAUGUAAUACUCCGAAAAUUUUUACAGUAAGGAAAGUAAUAUAAUAUCUCUGAUAUAGUAAAAUAAGGAAAUAAAGUGCUAAAAAGGGGUAAUUUUGAGUUAUGGUAAUAUUGGGAAGUAUAUUAUAACAUAUUAAUUCAAGAAAGGAUUAAAUCGCAAAAGUGAGAAAAGUUUUGUUACCCAAGAAUAAAUACUCAAAAGUUGAGGGGUUAAAGUGUAAAUAUGAAAAAGUUAAAGGACCAAUGGUGUAAAUAUUUUAAGGGUGGAAUGAUCUAGAAACUAUGAAAAAUGGAUGGAUUAGGACCAAAUUGAAAAAGGUGAAAAAGUUUGAGGGACUAAAUCACAAUUUUACCAAAUUAAGUGAUACUCAAGGGUGGAAUUUUAAAAGAUCAUAAAGGGCAAAAUGGUCAAUUAGAAGAGAGAGAAAUCUAGAAGAUAAUGAUGAUGUUGGAGAUAUUUUAGAUUAAUAAAUAAAUAAAUAUUAGUUUAUUAAUAUUUUAAUUUGAUUUUUUUUAAUGAUAUUAUUUUAUUAUUAUUAAUUAAUUUAGUAUAUAUAUAUGUGGAACGAAGGAUGAAAAGCAAUCAUCCCCACCAUUUUUGCAUGCAUUAACGUGAGAAGAAGAGGGAAAGAAAGAAAGUUUUGCUUUCUUUACAAUUUGGUCCUUUCACCAAAAAUCUACCAUUUUCACUUAGAAACCAAAGAAAUUUCCAUAGCCACCAAGAGAGAAAAUUGACAAGGAGAUUAUGGAAAGCUAGAAUAUCAAGUUAGAUUCAAAAAAUAGAGGUUGGAGGAGAGAGAAAAUCAAGUUAAAGAUUGAAGUCAAUUGAGCAAGGUAAGAACAUCAUGAUUUUAAUAUAUUUUUGAGUUUGAUAUUAUUGAAAAAGUAUGAGAUUGAUGUUAAAGUAGGGUUUUAUUAUAUAAGGUUAUAUGUUCUUGAUAUGUUAGUGAAGAGAAAAUAAGAGCAAGUGUUGAGAAAUAGUGUAGAGAAGGAAAGUAAGAGUGUUAUAGACUUAGUAAUCAAUGUUUUGCAGUAUAACAGUUUUGGACAGCAGCAGUAGGUUAACUUUGAAAAAUCACCAUAAAUUGUGGAAAUCGAAUUAGAGGAUGAAUAAAAUAUGAAAUUAAAUAUUAUUGAGUAUAGUUUUCCAUAGAAGAAACGGUGUAAGCAAUAGAAUUUUAAAUUAUGAGGUAUAAUAAAUUUUGUGAGACGAGGUCAGAAUGAAUUCGGGUUCCCCUGUUCUGCCUUUGGAAAAUCAUAAAAAAUUUAAUAAAAAUAAUUAUGGGUUAUAAUUUAUAUUCUUAGAAUCCUUAAUGAGUCUAUUUUCAAAGGAAAUAAACGAAAACAUCAUCUGAAUUCUGUACAAUUAGAUAAUUCAUUUUUAGUGAAGAGUGGUCGGAACUGUCAGAUAGCAAAACAGGGGAAACUUUAAAGAAUAAACUGUACUAUUUUGCUGAACCAAAAAUUCUGAAAAUUUUAUGGUAAGAAUAUAUGUGAGUCUAGUUUCAGGUAAAAUUUACAGAUAUUAAUUUAGAGCUCUGUAGCUCUAGAUAAAAAUAAUUUAGUGACUGUAACUCGAUUAGACAGCUUUGAAUUUAAAUAUAAGUGAAUAGUAAAAUUAUGUAUAAUGCUAUUUAAGUGUGUUAUAUGCAUCAGGGAUGUGGGACGGAGAGGAGGAGGAGGACAAUAAAGUAUAUGAAUGAAUUGUGUAUAAUUGGUUAUAUUCUUGAUUAUAAUUGAUAAACGAUGAAAUAGAAAUGAUGCUUAUAUUUGUGCAUUAUUGGUCAUGGUCUAAGCUCAUGUAUGAAAAUAAAGUUUCAUAGUAUGUGUGUAUGGUAUAUUCGGUAUAUGAUUUGGCAUAAAAAAAUAUAAUGAAUGGUUUAUGAAUUAACACAUGUUGGUAAGCGUGAUACAUGAAUAAAUGUUGUGCUCAUCCAUGCUUAUAAUGCUUAUGCUAUAUGUGUAUUUGGCUAACACAUUUAGUGUUGAAAUGAUAAUAAAAUAAAAAUGAGAAAAUUGAAUAAAUGAUCAAAUUGAGCGGAACGCCAGAUUUGAGUACUUCUGAUCAGUGACAAGUGACAAAGUGAUAAGUGGUAGCUUUAGCUACACUUAUCUGAUCAAGUGACAAAGUGAUAAGUGGUAGUUUUAGCUACACUUAUCUGAUCAAGUGACAAAGUGAUAACUGGUAGUUUUAGCUACACUUAUCUGAUCAAGUGACAAAGUGAUAAGUGGUAGCUUUAGCUACACUUAUCUGAUUAGGAACAAGUAAUAAGUGGUGACAAAGUGAUAAGUGGUAGCUUUAGCUACACUUAUCUGAUCAAGUGACAAAGUGAUAAGUGGUAGUCUAGCUACACUUAUCUAAUCAGGGACAAGUGAUAAGUGAUCAUACGUAAGACCAUAGUUAUACUAUGGCAAAGUGAAAGUGAAGUACUCAAUUUUCCGUAAUCGUUCCAUAAUUUGAUUAAGGAUGGUAAAUGACAAAUGGACCCAAAAGAAUUAAAGAAAAUGGAUAAGUGAUAGUGUAUUUAUACCAGGAUGAUGCUGUUAUAUAAGCUAAAAUGAUAUAUUCAUUGCAAAAUUUAGAAUUUCAUAAAUGUGUUAAUGAAUGGUAUAAUCGAUAAAAGUUGAGUUAAAUAGUAAAUACGUAUUAGUGUUGAACUUAAUGACAUUAAAUUGUACGCGAAUUAAAUGAAAAUUGCUAAUGAUAUGAUUUAAAUUGUCAGCAUGAGAAAUUGUGAAUUUAAUGAAAUGGAAAUGAAGCAUUAAAUUGCAUGAGUAUGUAUCGGGUCUCGUAGGCCCUAAUUAUUAUGAUCAUAAUAUUUUGAUGAUAUCUUAUGAAAAAUUAUAAAAGCAUGUUAAUAAUUUUGAAAAUUUUAAUUUAGAUGAAAUUUUAUAACUCGGUUAAAUACGUUUACAAGUGCAUGUGUUCUAGUAAUGCCUCGUACCCUAUUCUAGUGUCGGAUACGGGUAAGGGACGUUACAAUGCAAUCCCUUUGGAUCGUCAGACCAUUCACUUUGUUGUGGUGGUUUGGAACAAGCAUAGGGCGUUGUACAAGCUUUAUCGGGCUUCAUCCUCACUUCUUGUGAUGCUUGCCUCGCUAAAUUCAUGUCUAUUCAGGAAGCCUUUUAAUGGCUUAAAGACCAGGGCAUGGACAAUAUUGUCGUGGAAACCGAUUGUAGGGAAUUUGUGCUUGCCCUUCGUUCAAACAAUGAAAACCUCUCGUAAUUCAGCUUUGUGGUUAAUGAUUGUCGAAUGCUGCAAGUUUCAUUUUAAAAUGUCAGUUUCUCUUGGGUCAAGUGAGUCAUUAAUCAGGUUGCUCAUUAGUUGGGUCGGGUGACUUUCUUCCAUGCUAACUCGCUUGUGCAUGCAACUAUUCCUCUAUGCUUACGUGAUAUUGUCAUGGAUGAUGUCACAAUGUAACCACUGUAGAAGGGCUCUAAGGCUUGGGUGUACGGGGUUUAGUCUGUUAGUUAGGGUAAGUUUGGUCUUUAUAUGUAAUAUUUGUUUAUAUCAAUUGAUGAAUUUUGUUUUCUUAAAAAAAAUAUAUAUCAUAUAUAUCAUUAUAAUUUAAAGAUGAAUUUUUAAAUAAAUAACUUUUAUUUUAAUAAAUUUAUAUUUUAAAUUGAAAUUUAUUCUUAAUUAAUUAAAAAAUCUACAACCUCGUAGAAGCAAUCCUCGGAUUGAUUCUUAAGCUUCAAUUUGAUUUUCUAAUUUAUUUAAUUUUUUAGAAUGUUUUAAUUUUUUUAUCAAAGUAAUUGAAACAGGUAAAUAAUACUGUUAAUUUUUCGAGGGAUUAUUUUAGCAAUUUAAUAAGUAAAAACUUGAAUUAGGCACAAUGUACACUAGCGUUAGGGUAUGGUAUUUUUCAAGCUAAGGCAAUAAAUAGAAACCCUUCUUUAGUGAUUCAAGAGUAGCAACAACAACCAAUGUUAGCUCUUUUGUUAUGCGCUAUGGUUGAUAUGGUCCUUUAGAAAUAAAUUCAUUCACGAGGGGAGAAAUACAACUGGAAGGGGGUUAGCUCAGAAUAUUCAAAGACACAUGGCAGAAUAUGAAGGACUAAAAGUCAUAAAGAAGAUUGAGAGAAUUUAUAGAGGCUACAGAAUUCAGGAGGACGUACCGAGAAUAACGAUCCAAUUUGAUGUAGCGCUGGACAGUAGAACCUUUAAAUCAGUGACUGGCUUAGUAGGUUGGGAUAUGAGGGGAAACUUACUGGUGUUAAAGACGGUUAUCCAUAGAAAUGCCCCAUCACCAUUCGCAGCAGAGGCAUAUGCAUGUUUAGAAGGCACAAAAUUAGGGAUUGCACUAAGAACUCAGUCAGUUAGAAUCAUAGGGGACUCUAAAACAGUUAUAAAAAAGAGCCAGGCGACUUCAACAGACAAAUCUGUGAUCGGUGCCAUUAUUAGAGAUAUUUAGACUAAGAAAUCCUGUUUUCAAGAACUUACUUUUCAGCACAUCCACAGAUUAGAGAACAUGCAUGCACAUAGUCUCGCAAAGAAAGCUCUAGUUAAAGAAGAAAGCACUUACUUAAUGGGAGAAGAACUGAAAUGCCAUGUUUUAGUCUCGGGAGGAAACUGGCAAAGGAAUCCGGAUUAAAGAAAUGGUUGAAGGAGCAGUAUUCAAUACAGAUAGCUUAAUGAUGUUAAAUCCCUUGGGAAGAGCUAUCGAUAUAACAGAUGGGACUUUGAAAAUGACUUUUCAACAGCCUUUAUGGUAUCCAGCUGUUUUAAAUUGACUGGGGUAGGUUUUUCAUCAGUUUUUAUUUUCAUUAAAUGCUUUUUGUUUUCCCCUUUAAGUUAGUAAGUUACUAGAUAGUUGUUUUUUUCUAGGAGGUUUUCAUUUCUGUUUCGUUUAGGCCGG
rnacentral:lncRNA from 1 species